AGAGUUUGAUCAUGGCUCAGAUUGAGCGCUGGCGGCAGGCCUAACACAUGCAAGUCGAACGGUAACAGGAAGAAGCUUGCUUCUUUGCUGACGAGUGGCGGACGGGUGAGUAAUGUCUGGGAAACUGCCUGAUGGAGGGGGAUAACUACUGGAAACGGUAGCUAAUACCGCAUAACGUCGCAAGACCAAAGAGGGGGACCUUCGGGCCUCUUGCCAUCGGAUGUGCCCAGAUGGGAUUAGCUAGUAGGUGGGGUAACGGCUCACCUAGGCGACGAUCCCUAGCUGGUCUGAGAGGAUGACCAGCCACACUGGAACUGAGACACGGUCCAGACUCCUACGGGAGGCAGCAGUGGGGAAUAUUGCACAAUGGGCGCAAGCCUGAUGCAGCCAUGCCGCGUGUAUGAAGAAGGCCUUCGGGUUGUAAAGUACUUUCAGCGGGGAGGAAGGGAGUAAAGUUAAUACCUUUGCUCAUUGACGUUACCCGCAGAAGAAGCACCGGCUAACUCCGUGCCAGCAGCCGCGGUAAUACGGAGGGUGCAAGCGUUAAUCGGAAUUACUGGGCGUAAAGCGCACGCAGGCGGUUUGUUAAGUCAGAUGUGAAAUCCCCGGGCUCAACCUGGGAACUGCAUCUGAUACUGGCAAGCUUGAGUCUCGUAGGGGGGGGUAGAAUUCCAGGUGUAGCGGUGAAAUGCGUAGAGAUCUGGAGGAAUACCGGUGGCGAAGGCGGCCCCCUGGACGAAGACUGACGCUCAGGUGCGAAAGCGUGGGGAGCAAACAGGAUUAGAUACCCUGGUAGUCCACGCCGUAAACGAUGUCGACUUGGAGGUUGUGCCCUUGAGGCGUGGCUUCCGGAGCUAACGCGUUAAGUCGACCGCCUGGGGAGUACGGCCGCAAGGUUAAAACUCAAAUGAAUUGACGGGGGCCCGCACAAGCGGUGGAGCAUGUGGUUUAAUUCGAUGCAACGCGAAGAACCUUACCUGGUCUUGACAUCCACGGAAGUUUUCAGAGAUGAGAAUGUGCCUUCGGGAACCGUGAGACAGGUGCUGCAUGGCUGUCGUCAGCUCGUGUUGUGAAAUGUUGGGUUAAGUCCCGCAACGAGCGCAACCCUUAUCCUUUGUUGCCAGCGGUCCGGCCGGGAACUCAAAGAAGACUGCCAGUGAUAAACUGGAGGAAGGUGGGGAUGACGUCAAGUCAUCAUGCCCCUUACGACCAGGGCUACACACGUGCUACAAUGGCGCAUACAAAGAGAAGCGACCUCGCGAGAGCAAGCGGACCUCAUAAAGUGCGUCGUAGUCCGGAUUGGAGUCUGCAACUCGACUCCAUGAAGUCGGAAUCGCUAGUAAUCGUGGAUCAGAAUGCCACGGUGAAUACGUUCCCGGGCCUUGUACACACCGCCCGUCACACCAUGGGAGUGGGUUGCAAAAGAAGUAGGUAGCUUAACCUUCGGGAGGGCGCUUACCACUUUGUGAUUCAUGACUGGGGUGAAGUCGUAACAAGGUA
rnacentral:rRNA from 1 species